AGAUAUUAUGUUUCAGGAAUUUCCAUGACUCAAGGUUUUAGUUCAAGCUCAGCCAUGCUCGGGAACUCUGAGGUUAAGCCUUGUAUUUGGGAUCACGAUAGCUGUCGUUGGAAGCAGGCGGUUAUCAGAGUGUAGGAGCAUUGUCGCAUCAGACUGCUCUCUCCAAUAGGCUCAAAGUUAUUUCUCUUCACGUGGAUUUUCCCAGCUUCACCAUUGAUAAGUGCACGAUGCGAACGCAGGUAACCUUUGGAAAUCGUACAACUCAGUUGGACUUGUGCAUUAUUUAAUCUUUAACCAUUCAGAGAGAUUCCAUGUCUACUUUAGGAAGGCAUAUUGAACCUGAAUGUCAACUGGCAUGCUCCAUAAUUAAAAGAAGGGAUAUGAUUAGGCCGAUGUCUGUUUUUUAUCCCAUUAUUAAAUGUUAUGCUUUGGGAGAGUAAAGAGAAUUUAAGUAUAAAUUUGGUUAAAGUGUAU